UCUGUCAGAUUGGGAGCACUUCGGAAAGUAUGAUCAGGGAUAAAUCUCCUGUUCACUAAUGCGAUGGAAGCGUGCCAAUCCCAUGGCGCCGGCAAUUUGUCCUCAGUGGCCCGUCCAACCCGGAGAAUACCCCCCGUUCUCCACUACAAAAACCAUUUGUCCGCCUCAAUUCCAAACGGCUCAAGGAAGAAAAAGAAAAUUAGAAAGAACCAUACGAGAACACAAUCCAAUUGCCUACCAUUUUAUCCUAAAAGAACUCUCAAUGAUAAACACGAGCAAUUCGCGGUCACUCUCCAAGAAAGACCGAAUGCAAACGUACCAUCUCUCCCCAAAAGGAGAACAAUGAUCAAAAUCGUAAUUCCCAAGAUAUAAAAUAUCUUCGAGAGUCAUCACUCCUUCCCCAGCUAUCUCCCACACCCUAAUUCUAAUUGUGCCGAUUCGAAAUUGCGAAAACUAUUCUACCGACGAGAAUCCGGGUGAAUCCCCACACUUAAUCAACAAUGGGCAAACAUUUCCAACUCAGGACUCAGUUUAUCCGACAUGGAAUAAACUUAAUGAGAUUUCACUUCCCUAAUAAUUAUUUUUAAUCCCA
rnacentral:rRNA from 1 species